GUUUUUUUGUUUAAUAUGAUACUCAGAGAUUCUCAAGACGACAGAGUUUAGGGGUCUUCGGCGGGCGCCUUGCGGCAACGGCCCCGCCCUGGGGCCGCCCGCCGAAGCAGAUUCAGGUAGAUAAACAGUGGUUUCAGAGCUUUUGCAAGCCUGUAGUGAUCCCUCCGCAGGUUCACCUACGGAGA
rnacentral:misc_RNA from 1 species